UACGUAGGCAGCAAGCGUUGUUCGGAGUUACUGGGCGUAAAGGGUGCGUAGGCGGCUUCUUAAGUCUGGUGUGAAAUCUCCCGGCUCAACUGGGAGGGUGCGCCGGAUACUGAGGGGCUAGAGUGUGGGAGAGGUGAGUGGAAUUCCCAGUGUAGAGGUGAAAUUCGUAGAUAUUGGGAAGAACACCGGUGGCGAAGGCGGCUCACUGGCCCGUAACUGACGCUCAUGCACGACAGCGUGGGGAUCAAACAGG
rnacentral:rRNA from 1 species